ensembl:lncRNA
AGUGGCUCCGGUGGUGGAAAGUAGGGCCAGCCAAGUUUAGUUAGGGGAAUGGCACCCUUUGUAGGCGUAGGUAGCCAUUCCUGUUUGGGGCAGAAGCCAGACAAUUGAAGUUAACGGUUCUCAUCUUUACCUAGGGCAAAAUUUCCCUUCCUGGUCGUUUUAAUUUCUGAAGUCGAGGAAGGAAAGCCCCAGAAUCCAUCAGGUUGCUGAGAUUUAACCCCUUCGUCGCCGAAUUGGCUAAAGGACGUUUCCGUUUAUGGGCAUAAACUCAAAGUUGGGAAGGGAUAUUUUGCAGAUGAAACAAUUUUAACAGCUAUCCUGUGUCAAAAUGCAAACAUCAAGUAGAUUAAUUCGUUCAAUCGCGGAAGGAGACCGAACCAUUCUCCAGAAGCUGUAGCUCCAAAGAAGAGCCAGUUUAGCUCUGUGACGUGUCCAGCAUUGGCAGAUGUGUCCUGCAUUGGCAGAUGGAUUCUUUACCACUAGCGCCACCUGUGAAGCCUACAGUAAAUUCUUCCUGGUCAACCAUAAUAUGUUUACUGUUUCACAGUCUGAAUGUAUAGCACUCAAAGAUGGUGAAGGAUGCCUCCCUGGAAACUAGUAUCUUAGAGUAAAAUCUUAUCCAGACUUAACUAUUCAUCAUACAAACACCAACAUUACAGAUGUUCAACAUUAAUUAAUCACUUACAAACACUGCAGCCAGCACUGAGAGAGUUUAUGGUUUCAUUUAGACAUGGUUCUUGCCCUUGGAAAGUAUACCCUCUAGCAAAAAGAUGGAAAAACUAACACCAGUGGGAUAGAAAUGUGAUCGUAAGAAAAGUGUGUACUAAAGAUGAAAAACACCUAGGUAUGUUUAGGAUGGAGAGGGG